CUCUCUCUCUCUCUCUCUCUGAUUUAUGUUCCCUUUACAAAAGCUCUCGCUGUGCAGUCUGCACUCUUCUUAAAUUUCAAAUCUCGCACGAUGAGCUCUGCACACAUCUAAGUGAAAAGAAGCUCGUACGUCAUCUGCUCUCCAAUCUCAAGCUGUCAAAUUUUAUUGUAUUCACUGUUCACCAUCUCUACUCUUGCUUCGUCCAGAUUCCAAUCCAAAUGCUGCUC
rnacentral:misc_RNA from 1 species